UGUCUUUCCCAUAAGGUAGGUUGACCCUUAGCAUGAGAUGUGCAUUGCAAAGCAACAAGAAGAACUUAGAUAUUCGGUGUUUUCUUUUUUUUUUUUUCCCCAACCUAUGUGGCGGUGAAUGCUCUGUAUGGGGCAUCUCUCUGGACUAAGCCUCUAGGGCACACUACUAGGGGCUGGGGCAGGGAAUUAAAAACUGCAGUAGCCAGUCUCUAAGAGCUCCUCUAACUCGUGAAAGUUGAUGCCUCUAUUUUAGCUGUUUCAUUUGCCUUUUUUUUCAAUAACUCCUCUACGUAACUCUUCUUCAUUUUUGUCUGUGCUUGUCUUGAUGCGGUUCACAAUCAUGGUUUUAUUGACCUUGUUUUCGUGUUACAAAAUCACUCUGUGUUUGUGAUUUGUUUCAUGGUAUUUCUCAAGAAGUGGCUUCAAUCCCCUCUGGGAUAGGCACAUUACUAUGUACCACAGGGCAGGCCAGGCUGCAGGAGGAGCUUGCAGUCCUGGAGGCUUCUGGCUCUCCUCUCACCCCGCUGCCCGCCCCUCAGUGAUUAGUUGGAAUCCAAGACAGCAAUACAAGAUGUGUCGUUGGUGGGAGUGAUGGAGUGCCUGCUGAGUGGGCCGCAGAUAAGCACCGUGAUUUCGGAGGACGCUUCAUCAUUUCGCCGUAAGAACAUGUUAACGGGUGAUUGUUUGAAUGUCUCCAGCUAAUAGGAUAUUAUUCAUAACACUCUGGCUAGUUGGAAUGGAAGAUGAUAAGAAAUUAAAUCCUUAAUGGCUUUCUUUAAGGGAGGACUUUUCCCAGGGGAACCAGGAACCCUGGGAAAUCGCUCCAUGUACCCUGGCAAUAUCUAUACGGAGAGAAUUGGCUUUAAAUGAACCUCUGAGGGUUACACAAAGGGUAAAAGAAAGAGAACAAAAAGCAAUU
rnacentral:lncRNA from 1 species